GACGAACGCUGGCGGCGUGCUUAACACAUGCAAGUCGAACGGAAAGGCCCUGCUUUUGUGGGGUGCUCGAGUGGCGAACGGGUGAGUAACACGUGAGUAACCUGCCCUUGACUUUGGGAUAACUUCAGGAAACUGGGGCUAAUACCGGAUAGGAGCUCCUGCUGCAUGGUGGGGGUUGGAAAGUUUCGGCGGUUGGGGAUGGACUCGCGGCUUAUCAGCUUGUUGGUGGGGUAGUGGCUUACCAAGGCUUUGACGGGUAGCCGGCCUGAGAGGGUGACCGGCCACAGUGGGACUGAGAUACGGCCCAGACUCCUACGGGAGGCAGCAGUGGGGAAUAUUGCACAAUGGGCGGAAGCCUGAUGCAGCAACGCCGCGUGCGGGAUGACGGCCUUCGGGUUGUAACCCGCUUUCGCCUGUGACGAAGCGUGAGUGACGGUAAUGGGUAAAGAAGCACCGGCUAACUACGUG
rnacentral:rRNA from 1 species